ensembl:snoRNA small nucleolar RNA SNORD50
GAUCUAUGAUGACCCUAUCCCGAACCUGAAUUCCUGUUGAAAUACAAAAUUACGGAUCUGGCUUCUGAGAC